GGCAACCCUGACGGAGCAAGACCGCGUGCGGGAUGACGGCCUAAUGGUUGUAAACCGCUUUUCUCUGGGAAGAUGAUGACGGUACCAGAGGAAUCAGCCUCGGCUAACUCCGUGCCAGCAGCCGCGGUAAUACGGAGGAGGCAAGCGUUAUCCGGAAUUAUUGGGCGUAAAGCGUCCGUAGGUGGUUAUUCAAGUCUGCUGUCAAAGCGUGGGGCUUAACUCCAUAGAGGCAGUGGAAACUGGAUGACUUGAGUGCGGUAGGGGUCGAGGGAAUUCCCAGUGUAGCGGUGAAAUGCGUAGAUAUUGGGAAGAACACCAGUGGCGAAAGCGCUCGACUGGGCCUGCACUGACACUGAGGGACGAAAGCUAGGGGAGCG
rnacentral:rRNA from 1 species